CCUCGAGCCGAUCAUCGGUCUGCGCUUACCGCGCUCUGGUCCCGCACACUUCCUUCCAACUGUAUGCCUUAGAGCUCCGCUCUUCUCGAAACUUCCCUGGCCACGCUCGGCCUCCGCUGCCUGCUUCGCGUAUCUAGAACCCCGCGCUAAGAUACCGUUGGUGAGAUGAGCUCCUCAGUCCCUGAGCACCGAGCGUUUGCUAGGCGCUGUGGAGGGGCAGAGUCUUGAUGUCACAGUAAAAUAGCACCACAUCCACAAACCUCAUAAGUCAUUGUCCUUCUGCUGCAAUCCAACCUCUACAUCUGAAAUACAGAAGGAUCUAUCUUCAAAGAACUCCAUCGUUUGCUCUGCGUUGGUACUCACCCAUAAUCGAAGCGCCUGGGAGGAGGAACCGGAGACUGGGAAGCCUACAUCACUCUCAGCAGGGCACAUCUAGUUGGAUGUCAGCUUGGGAUACAUAAGACCCUGUCUCGGAAAACAAGGGCUGUGGGGAUGGCACGGUCAAGAAAGAACAUGAAGACUUGAGUUCAAACCCCAGCACCCACAUAAAAAGCCGGGUAUGGUGGUACACACCUGUAACCCUAGUGUUGGGCGGGUGGAGACAGGAGGAUCCCUGGGGCUCACUGGCCAGACAGCCUAGCCUACAUCCAGGUCCCAGUGAGGGGCAUUCUGUUGGGCAGUUCCUGAGAAAGAAUGGUGGUUCCAGAGACUGACCUCUGUCCCACAGUGCAUAAAACUGAGUGCGGUAGUGUGUGCCUGGAAUCCCAGCACGUGGGAAAUGAAACCAGAGGGUCAGAGGUUGAAGGCCAUCUACCCUCAGCUACAGAGCAUUUGAGACCGCCUGAGAUACAUGAGUCUGUCUCUAAUGUCACAAGACAAUAAAAACCCCCAGUGGUGGUCA